ensembl:lncRNA
GAUGCUUAAAGCUUCUUUUUUUUUUUUUUUUGCUUAAAUUCUUUUAUUGGUACAUUUUAGGGUUCACAUUUAUCAUUGGGUGCUUGUACUUGUACAUGAUGUAUCUUGGUUCUUAUUUUUUUCCCCAUUUAAAGCUUCUGAUUUUAUUAAAAAAUAUCUUUGUGGCACACACCUGUAAUGCCAGCACUCAGGAGGCUGAGGCAAAAGGAUCGCCAAGAGUUCAAGGCCAGCCUGGGCCACAUAGGGGCGAACUCAGAACCUUGCACCUGUGAGGCAGGAGCCAGAACCACUGAGCUAAAUCCCUGGCCCCUGUUACUAUAUAUCUUAAUGCACUUUAGAAGAGGAUUAGACUGAAAGGAACUUAGAGGAAUGACUGUAAUGCUAAAAUUUCAGGCACUGUGACCGCUAGAUAUCAUGAAUAUUUAUAAAGGAUCAUUGAUGAUAUUUCUCAGUGAUUACCUUCUCCACCUUCUGUUUCCCUGCAUUUGUUAGGAAAAAAGCAAUCUGGGAUGUAAAUGAAUAGGUUGCAAUACAACUUAUUUUCAAGAAAUUGUUUCUAUUUCACAACCUCUUCACUGAAUUACCAAUCAUACUCAAACCUGUGUUGUCCUAUUUUUAUAAUUGCUGUGGCUCAAAGUAUAAUUGCACUCCCCUCAGGUCAGCCUUUUAGCACAUUCAUUCACAUUUACAUGAAAAAAAUAUAUAUAUAUAGUGGUGCUGGGGAUGGAAACUAAAAGCUUCAUACAUGUAAAUCAAGUGCUGUAUCACUGAGCUAUUCCCUCAGCCCCAAUCCAAUACUUAUUGAGCACUUCAUUUUUAAAAACAUCAAGCACUCAAUGAAAUGAUGUAAAAAAAAUGUACCAAAUAGAGUUUAAAGAAGUGGAAUUUUUACCUCUGGUCCUGAGUACAUGAAUCAUAAUGAUUUAUUUCCAUACACACAAAAUUUAAAUCUGUAUUAAAAUUUAAGGAUAUAAAAAUAACACAUGCUGGGCUGGGGAUUUAGCUCAGUGGUUUCGCUGCCUGCUGUGCAAACACAAGGACUUGAGUUCGAUCCCCAGUACCAAAACAACAACAACAACAACAGAAAACACAUGCUUUCCACAUCCCUUUAAGUCAUAUUAAAAGAUUUGAAGAAAACAAUAAAAAUAUUCCCAACCUUCUUUCUGCCAUUUAAUCUCAGUAACCUUUACAGAUAUUGCUGGCUUGGUUCCAGACCAUUGCAAUGAAGCAAAUAUCACAAUAAAGUGAGUCACAUGAACUUUUUGGUUUCCCAGCACACAUAGAAAUUAUGUUUACA